GUUGGGUCGGAUUGCUCUGACCUCUGAGGUGCUCGUCCUUGUCUCCGCCAUAGCCCGCCGCCGUAGCUUACUGAUGCCAGUGCGAGCCACAGCAGCUCACCGCCCUGGCUCCCCCACGCCUGCGCCAACAACCGCGGCUCGCCGCAGCCCGCCGUUGGUAGCCCAAGCCUGCGCGCGCUGGCGGAGCUCGCCGUCGCCUCGCUUAUGCCUGCUCGAGCUCUCGUAGCUCGUCGACGGUGCUCGUCCAAGUCUGCACGAGCGGGCAUAGCUCGUCCUCGCCUCUCUGAUGCCUGCGCGAGCCGCCGUAGCUCGCCGCCCAGGCCCUGCGCAAGCAACCCCAGCUCGCCCUCGCCUGCGUGCUGGCGGAGCUCGCCGCACGGCAUCCUAGACAGGUGCGCCAGCGACUUCGUGUCCCUGAACACCAGCACCAUGGCAACAUCAACUGGAGGCCCUUUUGAUGGUCCGUGAGGACGAGACGAACGCGUGUGCAGGUGCUGAAAAUGUAGAAUGCAAGCAACCUGGAGUAGAUCAGGGAUGAUGAAUGUGCUUCCCACAGAUUCCAUACGUCACAUGAGGAGCUUUGUUGAACUGGAGUCAAACGAACAAACCAAGGGAAAGGUAAAACGUAAUACCGUCCAGAAAGAUUGGGUUCCAUGUCGCCACUGCGGUACUGGGUGAUGGGCAGCACACGAAGCCGAGGAGAUCGGCGGCGCGCAACGCCGAGGAGAUUGGCGGCACGCGGCGUUGAGGCAAUCAGCGGCGUCAUGACCCAGGAGAUGGGGGCAGCGUCCAGCGAUUGACCUAAGAAGUCCUGGCGACCAAGGAUGCGGCAAGCACGGUAUUCACGGCGGGCAGCACGCACUCAUCCGCUUCAAGUGCUGAUCUGAUGCCAAAGUACGUGAAGAUAGCUACAGGGGUACUUCGGUCCUUUCAGGUGCCAGAAAAUAGAAAAUAAAAAUAAAAACAAUGAAAAAAGAAAAAAUGGCAUGGUAAUCAAAGUGCAUACGAACUGGGUGGCAUUUUUGCGAAGCCAAUGUUGAGAGUGGCAGUUUUGCGAAGCCCGAUAUUGAAAGUGGCAAAUAGCCGAUUUUCUCGUCUAGUGGCAACUUCUUGUCAAAGACGGCAAAUGAGACAAAGUUUUUGGGUAGAGAAGUUCACUCACGGCUAACUUUACGUAGAAAUUAAAGGCCCUGUUAUAGUGCCGAUUCUUUGCAUGGCUUGCACUGCAAAACAAAAUCUACACAUCCGACCGUCUUGCAAGCUGUGGUUUGGACCAUCAGGUGAGUUGCCCUUUUUGUGCACAAGAGGAAGAAAUGAUUGAUCACAUCUUUCUGGAUUGUGUCUUCGCAAGGGAGGUUUGAAAUACCGUAUGUUUAGCUCUCAACAAACUGGAUUGGGUGCCACAGAUAAGAUCAAGGUUGGUGGAUUGGCGCACUAACAAACUUGGGACCAACAUGCAUGUCCUCGCCAUCAUGAAUGUGGGAGCUUUGGAAGCAUCACAAAACUGGUUAUAGCGUACAACAGUGACUUUGAGGCCUGUGAAUUCAUCUGUGAAUCCAGAAGGAGGAACUUUGAAGUUGAUAGCUUAGCUAAAUUUCUUUGUUUAGCUUCCAAUCCCUGAAACCGAAGCAUGUCGCCCUCCUAUGUUUUCGGUAUCUAGCUGUCAGAUCAAAUAAGAAUACGUCUAUGAUUUGUUUUUGGCUUGUUUUUUUGACUGGCCACAGAUUUUGGGUCAUCCUUAACGGCCGAGGCCCAUUACCUGGACCCAACCCUUCCCUCUCUUCCUAUGUUCUUUUCUAUUUUUCUGUUUUUACUUAUUUUGUGCUUUUGUUAUUACUUUUUAUUUAUUAUUUGUUUUUAUUAUAUUGUGAGUAUUUUGG
rnacentral:rRNA from 1 species